rnacentral:rRNA from 1 species
UACGUAGGGACCAAGCGUUGUUCGGAUUUACUGGGCGUAAAGGGCGCGUAGGCGGCGUGGUAAGUCAGUUGUGAAAUCUCCGAGCUUAACUCGGAACGGCCGACUGAUACUGCUGUGCUAGAGUGCAGAAGGGGCAAUCAGAAUUCUUGGUGUAGCGGUGAAAUGCGUAGAUAUCAAGAGGAAUACCAGAGGUGAAGACGGGUUGCUAGGCUGACACUGACGCUGAGGCGCGAAAGCCAGGGGAGCAAACGGG